AAAAAGUCAAACCAUGUAUUUCCGUGUACAACUUUAACUGUCCGUCUUAAUAAAAUUUUUUUAUAAUUCGUAUUUUCAUUAGUGUUAGAUGAUAAAACAUGAUUAAUAUUUUAUGUGUGGCUUGUCUUUUUAAUUUUUUUCAUAUUUUUUUCAAAUAAGACGGACAAGUCAAACGUUGGGCACGGAAAUUAGGGUUUGUCUUUUU
rfam:Oryza sativa Japonica Group DNA, chromosome 5, cultivar: Nipponbare, complete sequence.